GCCGGAUGGCUCAGUGGGUAAUCAUUUUGACUUUCGUUCAGGAGGUCCCGGGUUCGAUUCCCCAUGGGGGCA